AACUUUUUCUUAUGCCGACUUCUUACUGUACCAUUUUGGGGUAUAAUAUACUGCAUUUUCUUUAUAUUACUUUACCAUAGUAUUAACUUGGUAGAGGAGGGGGGAUUUAGCUGUAUUUCAAUGAAUAUUUUUUAUAGAAAACUGAGUAAUGUUGGUAUCUUACAUAUGCUUGUAACAGUAAAUUAAUUAUGAGAAAAAAAAUUAAUUAGAACAAGACCAGAUUGAGCAGUUAAUAUACAGUUGAUAUAAGUAGAUUUGAAAAUUCCAAUUAGAAAAAUAAUAAAUCUACUGCAGUUGGGUUAUCAUCUUUUCGGCCUUUUAGUGAACACUAGGUCAAAGUCAAUUCGGCCUUUUAGUCCACACUUUGUCAAAAUCAAAUGAGCGCUUUGUAAGAAGACCACCGUCAUGAUGAUGGAAGUAAGAAGUUUUAAAACUAAACUUUAUUUUAACAAGGGUUAAUUCACGCAGGUUUUUAAAUCAGUUUGAUUGAUUUAGCGUGUGUGAAUUACUCCAUUAACAUCAUCCCCAAAAGUUCCAUUGGAAUUCUGCUGUCAGUGUCUGAAGAAAUGAAUAUGUGUACGAGACUGGAGUGAUAUGAUGAAGAUACCCAACAUAAUGAUUAAAAGAUAAAGAGAAUAAAUCAGAUUGGUGAUCAAUAUCCAAAAGACAGGAUGGUGGAUCUAAAGUUUUUUAAAAAAGAAGAAUUGCUGUCCAUCCAAGUGUUUACAGAAGAUUCCCACUAAUGCAGUUUUUUUCCAUCAGGAAGCAGUUUUGGAAACUGGUCAUUACUCAACAGAAUCAGGAGAUUUCAGUAUUGUAUGCAAACAAAGAUAAGACAGUGUCACUCGCACAAAUUUAAGUCCCCUUUCGGUUGAUUGUACUUUUUCUUAACAAAUAAAAAUCAGUAUCUCAGACACUCCUCUUCUCUUGGCAAGUCAUUUGGUUGAGUUUUCUCUGGCAAUAGGAUUUGUUUAUGACCCUCACUUUAAUUAAAAUGG